rnacentral:tRNA from 3 species
GCCCCGGUAGCUCAGCCCGGUAGAGCGCCCGCCUCGUAAGCGGAAGGUCCCGGGUUCGAAUCCCGGCCGGGGCUCCA